rnacentral:tRNA from 2 species
GCCCCUAUAGUUCAAUGGAUAGAACGAGGGACUUCUAAACCCUAGAUGUAGGUUCGAUCCCUGCUGGGGGCACCA